AUAAAGUAUCUCUGUGCAUGUGCGCAAGUCUCUGGCAUGUUUUAGGUGAUUUUUGCGACAAGUGCAUGUCUGUUAAUCGCUGUUGUGUGUUUUUUUGGUUUCAGACGAGUCCGACGCGAGUGAAGGCUCUGCCCCCUGGCUGUAACCGCAGACGGCUGAGACCCUCACCGCCCGAUCGCACUUCGAUACACACACACACACACGCGCACCCACACUCCCCUCACAGACCGUCUUAAAUAAAGAUUUCUCCACGAAUAACACUAAAGCGGCCUCCUGUGUGUAUGUGCUCCGCCCACCGCUGGCUAAAUUCCCUACAAAAGUUAUAUUUUAACCCCUUUUGAAACCUGUAGACUGCUUCUGUCUGUGUGUGUGUGUGUGUGUGUGUGUGUGUGUGUGUGUGUGUGUGUGUGUAUGUAUAUUAAGGUCGUUGAGUGAAACCUCCAGCUGCUGCCCACCACACCCCACGAUGAACCUUCAGCUGUCGCUCUGUCAGUGGACAUUAGGAGAUACUUCCUUGACAUGAGAAGGGGUCUAGAGCGUCGGUUCUGCUUGUUUAAAACCACCCAAACCUGCUACUCAGAUCAGGAGGGAUUCUCUUAUCAUGUCAACACAGAGGAUUGUUUCACUGGCAUACAGUGUGUAUCUGGGAGGGUUACAGAAUUCAUUUCUUGUAACCGCAGGAGCUGUCACUGUGCCACUUGAGGACCAUGUGCAACCCUUUGAAAAGGUGACCUGCAUGUACCUGUUUGUGGGAGCAAAUGGUCAGGUGAACACCUCCACUUGGGUUCAGGAUCAUGAAGAUAACUCUCUCUACAAUGAUUCAGAGAGUGAACCAGACUCUGAGGAGAAAUAGGAGAGCCUUAACUUUUUGGAGUUGGAGGUGCCCUUUAUUAGCUACCAUCUAUCAGAGAGAGGGGUUACUGAUAUCGGCCUGAAGCUGUGUGCUCUCCGUAAGGCGUUCUCGACUCUGCUUGCCAGCAUCCACAACCAGAACUUCCUGUUUGUGGUGGGAAAGAAGAUAGUGAUGCGUCUGGCAGCAGCUAAUAACCAGGAUGUGGUUGGUGUGCAGCUGGCCUAUGUGUCACUGAUUCGAUUCCUGAGAACUUCUUCCAAUCAGGAAUCGAUUGUGACAGAGCUCUUCGGGGCCCAGCUGCACCACUACAACUUCUCGGACAUGUUUUACGAGCUGCUUCUCUUCAGAUACUUGACAAACAACUCAGCUCCUGAGGCUGUAAGUGUCUUAUCAGAUUUCAAAGUUAUUCUUGAAUGUAGUUAAAGAACAUGGAAUAUUUU